GGAUAAUCAACAUCGUGUGUGCUGCUGCUCUUCUUCAAAAGUGACACUGAAUGAAGCAAGGCACAAUCUCCUAAAACCCAAGCCCAUGUCCUUUUGCUUGCAGUGUGUCGAUGGGGGGUGAUGAACCCCAUCUCUGUCCUGCUACUUGUCCUGGAUAUCUGAUUUCCACUCUUUUAUUUUCCUUUUUCCAGGAAUGGAUAAGGAAUCCAAAGCUGAGAUCCCUCUUCAAGUUAAAAUGCCAAAGGGUCAGUGUUUCUUCUUUCUGGUGUCAGAUGACAUGGAAGCCAGGUGUGACAGCACAUCUUCAAUUGUGGCACUGGAAAAUGGAGACAGGGUUAUCCUCUGGAGUUCCAAGUCAACUUGGGAGACAGUAUCCCACUGUCACCAGCCUCAUCUUCACCAUGGACUUGAUGAAGCCAUGUUAACUUUG
rnacentral:lncRNA from 1 species